rnacentral:rRNA from 1 species
AGAGUUUGAUCCUGGCUCAGGACGAACGCUGGCGGCGUGCCUAAUACAUGCAAGUCGAGCGAAGUUUUUCUGGUGCUUGCACUAGAAAAACUUAGCGGCGAACGGGUGAGUAACACGUAAAGAACCUGCCUCAUAGACUGGGACAACUAUUGGAAACGAUAGCUAAUACCGGAUAACAGUAUUUCUCGCAUGAGAGAUAUUUAAAAGUUGGUUAUGCUAACACUAUGAGAUGGCUUUGCGGUGCAUUAGCUAGUUGGUGGGGUAAAGGCCCACCAAGGCGACGAUGCAUAGCCGACCUGAGAGGGUGAUCGGCCACACUGGGACUGAGACACGGCCCAGACUCCUACGGGAGGCAGCAGUAGGGAAUCUUCCGCAAUGGGCGAAAGCCUGACGGAGCAACGCCGCGUGAGUGAAGAAGGAUUUCGGUUCGUAAAGCUCUGUUGUUAGGGAAGAAUGGAUAUGUAGUAACUAUACAUGUAAGAGACGGUACCUAACCAGAAAGCCACGGCUAACUACGUGCCAGCAGCCGCGGUAAUACGUAGGUGGCAAGCGUUGUCCGGAAUUAUUGGGCGUAAAGCGCGCGCAGGUGGUUUAAUAAGUCUGAUGUGAAAGCCCACGGCUCAACCGUGGAGGGUCAUUGGAAACUGUUAAACUUGAGUGCAGGAGAGAAAAGUGGAAUUCCUAGUGUAGCGGUGAAAUGCGUAGAGAUUAGGAGGAACACCAGUGGCGAAGGCGGCUUUUUGGCCUGUAACUGACACUGAGGCGCGAAAGCGUGGGGAGCAAACAGGAUUAGAUACCCUGGUAGUCCACGCCGUAAAC